CCGAGUUAUCAACUCCCAAACCCAUGUAACUUUUGUGCCUAGGCUUGGUAUCGCCCGGGCCUCCGGGCCCGGGACCAGGCGCCCGCCCGCAGGACCCCUUAAACUCUUGUUUUUCUAUAUGCAUCUCUGCAGUGAAUAAGCAAAUUAAAUCAUUA
rnacentral:misc_RNA from 1 species